GGGGGGGGGGGGGGGGGGGCCGGGGGGGUGGGGGUGGGGGGGACGGACGAGAGGCGUGCUGGUCGGAGGUGAGCGGCGGGGGGGUGCGGAACGCGGGGAGCACCGCCAUAUAAGACGGGGAUAACUUCGGGAAACCGUAGCUACUACCGGAUAAGAUCUUGCUCCGCAUUGUGCAAAAGUGAAAGACGGUCUUGCUGACACUGAUAGAUGUAUCCGCGUUUCAUUAGCUAGUUGGUAAUUGAACGGCUUACCCAGGCAACGAUGCAUAGCCGACCUGAGAGGGUGAUCGGCCACACUGGAACUGAGCCACGGUCCAGGCUCCUACGGGAGGCAGCAGUCGGCAAUCUUCCGCAACUGUCGAAAGCCUGACGGAGCAACGCCGCGUGAGUGAUGAAGGUCUUCGGAUCGUAAAACUCUGUUAUUAGGGAAGAACCUAUGUGUAAGUAACUGUGCACAUCUUGACGGUACCUAAUCAGAAAGCCCCGGCUAACUACGUG
rnacentral:rRNA from 1 species